UUGUUUGCGGGUGCAUCAUCAUCAAGAUUCACAUACUUUCGAGAGAAAUGAUGAUGACUAGUUAAUUAAUCCAUUAGUCGCUGAAAAUCGUCUCGAUAAGGGGUGAGAAUCUUGAUGAUGCUGCAGCGGCAAUAAA
rnacentral:pre_miRNA from 1 species